GGCAGGAAAUUUAAAGGCCUUUUAUUAAUGUAAAUGAGGAGGAGGUCUGUGUACAAGUAUAUAAGUAUAGGCAUAUUUGAAUUCUGGCUCUCAAAUAUUCAUGUGGUCUGAUCGUGGGUGAGUUUUUUUCCCAUUGAUGCUUGGUUUCAAGUUCUUGUUUCAGAAGAAUCUCAAAAUCUGCAAAAUGGCUCAGCUCUUGGACGUCACUAAGAAGAAGGAGAAACAUUUCAGAUUCAACAAAUGCAGAAAGAAGCUUUAUCAGUGCUUUUCUUAUACUAAAGACAGAGACUUCUGAGACUGAAACCUCCAUAAAUUGCCUCUAGCGGGAGGAUUUUCUGCCUGGAAGAAGAAAGGGAACACAGGAAUCUGCAUAAAACGAACACUAUCGGAAACUUUGUCUCCUAUUUGUUCUGCUAAAAGUUCAUUUGUUCUUCCCAUAGAAGGCUUUCUCAUCCUUUGCUUUCAUGUGGCAAAUUAGGUAUAUAAACCCUGGUCUCUAAUUAUUGAGCCAGUUCUUUUGUGUGCCCCUAUAUGUGUAUGAGU
rnacentral:lncRNA from 10 species